AAACGUUUCCUUCACACUGCCUCCUCUAAGGUUGAAACUGGAGCUAAAGAAGCUGUACUUCAUAGUUCACGUACAUAACUAACAGUAAGAGGAAGUCUGGAUGGGAAGUCAUCUCGAAUAAAAGUUGUGACAAUGACAUGUGACAUCUAUGUGAAAGGACACUAGAACUUCUGUCACUACAUCAACUGAAAGAGUAAUUAUCAGAGUGUUUAUCACCAGCCACUUUCUACUCGAGCAAACGCACCAAACUUAUUUGGUUAUUAAAUAGCUUUGGAUCUCUGGUCACCCUGUGGAGUUUUGGACCCUUCUUCCCUCAAGAUCAAGUCUGGGCGAGUCUAGAUGUGUGCAAACGAGCUAAAAGAAGUUAAAAAGUUGAGGAUGCUUUACUUGAAAACAGCCUGAGCCGAGGGCUGACUCGCACCGCAUCACCUGUCAUGACAUCUGUAGGGACGCAGACCAUCGUAAAACUUGCCAUUUGCAGCAUCAUAUGUGGCCUCUCCUGCUUUGGAAUAAUGUCCCUCAAGUACUCUGUCAAGGCUCGAGAGACAAGAAAAAGACUUCAAAAUGAAGACUGUCCAGAAACACGAGAGAUGGUUAAGAAAUAUUCAGAAAAGGCGUGUAAAUGGGGAAUCGGGUCCAUUGUAGCCUGGGUGGUUUUAAUUCUCAUCUUUCCAUUAUUGGUGGGAUUUCUGUCCUAUGUUGUAACCUUCAUAGAUUGACACUGAAGAAGCUUUUCUACAGUUAAAUUAGCAACCAAAGCAAAUGAACUGUAGGAAUACAGAAACAGACUCUUUUCAGUGUUCAGUGCAUUGGACACUGCAUCUAGACCAUCCAAAAAGUAACUUAUUGACAACAAUAGCUUGGACAUCAAUGAUCAUUAUUUAAAUUCUGUUUUGAAAGGUGCUUGUCCUUAGUUUGGAUCAAAGGUCCACAGCUUGCUACCUAUAUCAUAAGAGGAUUAAAUAGUUUGCACAAAGGACUAAACACCAUUUGGAUGCCUUUUGGUAGUAGCAAAACAUACUGGAUUAUAUUAGUGACCUACUUAAAUCACUUCAAUUAAACCAAUGCAGUUAAAAAUACAGCAACUUUCAGGAAUUUGUUACAUGCAUGAGAUAGAGCCAUGCAUAAAACCAUCAGCACUGUCCAGACAAAAGCAACUUUUA